AUACGGAGGGUGCGAGCGUUAAUCGGAAUUACUGGGCGUAAAGCGCGCGUAGGCGGCUAAGUAAGUCGGAUGUGAAAGCCCUGGGCUCAACCUGGGAAUUGCAUUCGAUACUGCUUGGCUAGAGUAUGGUAGAGGGUAGUGGAAUUCCUGGUGUAGCGGUGAAAUGCGUAGAUAUCAGGAGGAACAUCAGUGGCGAAGGCGGCUACCUGGACCAAUACUGACGCUAAGGUGCGAAAGCGUGGGGAGCAAACAGGAUUAGAUACCCCGGUAGUCC
rnacentral:rRNA from 1 species